AAAAGCAAAAUUCAGGAUACUUUUGUAGGUAGACACGUCAGAUAUUAUACAAAAUUAGCUUAAAUAUUCAAACACUGUAAAAUGAGAGGCAGAUAGGAUAUUGUCUCCAAAGAGGACAUAGUGAAAACGAUACUUUGAAAUGACAAAUAGUCAAAUAUGGGCAUAACUUUUUCAUAUUAGAGAAACCUUAUUGCCUAGACAAAUGUAGUAGUAGUGUGUAUUUUACUUCUAAGAAUUUAGUGACUAAAGUACAGUGCCUUCCCCAUCAUGUUCUCAUAAUAAAAGCUCAUAUUCUGUGAACAUUUUACACUUUUUUUGAGAUGGAGUCUCCCUCUGGCACCCAGGCUGGAGUGCAGUUGUGCCAUCUCGGCUCGCUGUAAGCUCUGCCUGCUGAGUUCAAGCAAUUCUCCUGCCUCAGCUUCCUGAGCAGCUGGGAUUACAGGCACCUGCCGCCACGCCCGGCUAAUUUUUGUAUUUUUAGUAGAGACAGGCUUUCACUAUGUUGGCCAGGCUGGUCUCAAACUCCUGACCUCAAGUAAUCUGCUGGCCUCGGCCUCUCAAAGUGUUGAGAUUACAGGCGUGAGCCACUGCGUCUGGCCUACACUUUUUAAUUCUCUGAUUUCAUGAAGAGUUCUUAACUCCCCCCAGCUAAUGCUAAAAAUGUGUCCUGGUUCUUACACAGGCACUGCUAGUAACGUGGCAACCUGAGCCUGUUCCCAGGCUCAAUUCACAGGAGCCCAUGUUCAGCGGUUAUUUAAUAGCUUUGAAAUGCCAUUCACCUGUGGCCCAUUUCAAGUUUCCCAUGAUUCUUAGGAAGACCCUGGCCUCCAUCUUGAAAACGGAAAAUAAAAACAGCAGACCUAUGAAGGUCGAAGGGGAAGAAAAGCUGUAUCGAUUGUUGAGAUCUGGCGACUUGUUUAAAUUUCAUCAGCCUCACUUCUAUGAACUCUCAGGACAAACUGCAAAAGAGUCGCAUCGAGUUGAGACUUCUCCAAGGGCCAUGGGGUUGACAUCUGUAUUCUCAGGUUUGAUAACUUCUUCUUAAAUCAUCUGACCAUCCAUCUAUCCAUCCAUUGAAUUCAAUAUUCAAUAAAUAUUUAUCAAAUACCUACAUUGUUCCAGGGAGUGAAACUUUCCUCCAAAGUUUCUUCUUCUUGUGAUUUUAUUUUCUGGUAGGAUAACAGAGAUUUUAACUUUAGUAUUUGAAGUAAUGACAAAGAUGCAUAGUUCAGAUUACCAUAGAACCCUUCUGGCAACCCAAGUGCCCUAUUAUAUGACAGUGCGUUCUUUCCCAUAGAAUGAUUAUAUAUUUUGCACAGCUUUGUGGGUGAACUAAACUGAACUAGAAAUCCAGCGAAUAUUCUAGCAGAUUGAGUGAUUAUGAUGCUCACCCUUCUGUUGUCAUCACUUGUGGACAAGGGUUGCCCUGAUUAGCACCACCACUACAUUUUUGGUGCUAAGUGUAGUUAAAUUUCAUAUCAAGAGUUUAAAACUUGAGAAAUUGUUGGAACACAUUUUUAUUUUGAAUAUUUGUAAAUGGUUCAGCAUAAAUACAAAAAAAAUUUAUCUGCUGUAUUUAUUUAUGAUACUUCUCUGUUGAGAAACAAUAAUCUUUCUGCUUCUUAAUCUAAAUUGAACUGCAGUGUACCAAUAAAACAAGUCACAACAUAAAAGUAAAUUUUCUCCGUAUAAAUAAUUAACUCUUGAAGAUUUAUUGGCCUUUCUCUAUUUCCCCUUUUCUCUGAGUGGUGUAAUCCAAACAAAAUGUUGCAUUUAUUCUUGUCUGAUAAAAUAUUCAUAAAAGAAACCACUACCUUUGAAUUUGGAUUAAGAAACUAUGAAGAAAACAUGAUUAUGAAAGUUGACCCUUGUGGUAACUACUACCUAAAGCCCAUUAGCUGAAACCAACUGUCUGCAGGGAAUCAACUUUUACUUUACCUUUAUUUUUGUUCCUUGGUUCUUAUUAAAAUUUUUAUUGCCUUUAAACUACUUCAUGAUUUUGAAACAAACAAAAGCAAGUGAUUAGUUUUGUGUUUUCAUCAUAUAUAGGCUAUAAUAAGUAAGCCAGGACUUUGCUAAAAAAUCAUCUUGAAUGAUCUGAGUGACUUUGGAAAUAAUGAAGACAAUCAGGAAAGAUUUCUCAGUCCCACAUAAGCAGAUUUUGCUGCUGUUUAAGUAAUACUUAGAGUUGAGAUUUUGAUAUUUUAUGGUUGUUUGGUGCUCUUUGUCAUAUGGAGGGAAAUGUAUCUGAAUCAAUGCUCAAGGCACACUCGCUGCCCUGCCCCUUGUUUCUUCAUGGGUUCAUGUUCAUGUGUAGAACAGCAGGUUUAUCUUGGCUUUAGCUCUUAUCGAGGCUAGAGGAUUCCAGCAAGACUAAUAAUAUUCUGGUGCCCAGUUAGGAAACUGAGUUUACUGUGAGAAAAGUUCUAUUGUUAGCAUUCUAAAAACCCCAAAGUCUGUAAUGAUGGACAGAACACAGUAAGUGUUCUUAAGAAAGG
ensembl:lincRNA